AGAUACUCCUGCAGAUUUAAAACAGUCCCGUUGCUUACUUGAAAACAUCUGCGGAUCACGUGCCAGACGUGUCCACUCUCAUGUGUCAACUUAACAGAGAUCAACCUAAAGAAUAGCAGUGACCUGCACCGCAUAUUUAUAUACACAAUGUACGUGAACUCUCCCGGAGCUGAGAGUGGAUCCUAUUCACUGACCUUCCUGGGAAAGAAAGUAGGAAGACAUCGAUCUGUAGCUCCUGCAGGCAAGCAAUUUGCCUGGGAGACGACUGUCAGGUCUGCUUGCCCCGAGGACCGCGUGGUGUCCUCGAGGGCUGCUAAAGUCCCUGUGGCAGCGCAGACGCUGGAAGAGCUACCAGGCAGUGUACCAGAGCUUCAAGAUGAAAGGCCAUGCCCGAUUAUUCACAACACACAGCUUGACCAGUUUGAGAAAACCACAGCAGGUGUUUCUGUGAGGAAAGUUACAACAUGACAACACACCCACAUUCCUGUACGAGGAAUAAAAGAGAGGAGAGGGUGGGAUGGGUUCUGCAUGACACGGAGAAUGAUGAAGUUGUCAAACAGGGCCAACUUGUGGAAUAUUUUAGAUAAGGCUGAGAGUGGUAAAGCUUCGAACUGAAAGAGAAAGUAAGCCAGAACUAACUUUUUAGUUAACUAGAACAUAUUAAUUGUGUUAUAAUCUACUUUUUGAUUGCAGCCUUCAGAAAUGUAAAUAGACAUUAAACUGAAUGCCAUGAAUCGCUAAAAAAAAAAUGUAAGGCA
ensembl:lncRNA